UUACUUUGAUUUUGGUUUUGAUUGGUUAUUUUUUGAAUGUUCUAUAUUUUUUAAUAUUUUAUUUAUAAAGUUUUUGAAUUUUUAAAAUUUAGACUAAAUUGACAAUAUAUGCAAACAUUAAGGGUUAAAUUGUUGAAUUUUUUAAAAUUAGGACCAAAUGACAAUUAAGCCUUUAUGUAAUUAUAUAUAUUGUAAUACCCAAUUUUAGGCCCGGGCCCAAAUAAAUAGAUAAAAUAAUAAAUAGUCUAAAAUCUAAAAUUACACUACCCAAAUACCCUUGGCCCAAUUUCCCCAGUCCAAUUACCCUAAAACCCAAAUUAGCCUAAAACUGAAAAUUAGAAAACCCUAGAAGCUUCAGCAUCCAGCCCCGGUGCCACACGACCCACGUUGCAGCAACCGUCAUCACCCACGACACACUCCUUCCACGAUCUCCAUACCUGCGAAAACACAAAUACAAAUGGGAAUACAGACAGAAAAUAAGAAAAAGAGGGGAGAGGAGAAAAAAAAAACUUCAAAAAAAAAAAGCGAAUAGGAUUUUUUUUAGAUUGAAACAAGAAAUAGAGAAAGAAAUCAGUGUACAACGAAAUACAAAAACAAAAAUAAUAAGAAUACAGCAGUUGAUUUUGAAGGUGAUUUUCGUUGCAUUUUAUUUAUUUAUUUAUUUAUUUUCUUUGAUUCUCUGUUUUUGUGCAAAAAAAAAAGCAAAAAGAAAAGGACGGAACUUACCUGAAUCGGAGUCCGCGGCGGAGCUUUGACGGCGGUGGCUUGGUGGUAGCUAGGGCUUUAAAGAAAACCUAGCAGAUUCCCCUUUUCUUCCCUCUGUUGUUUUAAAAAGGAAGAAAAGAAGAUGAAACAAUUCUUGCGCCUAUUGCUUUAAUUUGAGAUUGAAAAGGGUUUUAAGCACUGAUGGGUUAUUUACGUUUUUAAUCCUUCCAUUUUAUCCCAUCAUUUCAAAAUCAUUAUGGUUUGUUUUCAAAUUUUUCCCAUGAAAUCUUCAAAUUGUUUUAUU
rnacentral:lncRNA from 1 species